GCCAGGGGUUUACAAAUUUAGAACAGUUUUCUGUUGUACUAAAUAUGUCUUGUAUGAGUAAUAAAACGUAUCAAAUAUAUCAUGAUUAAAUUGCUAAGCAAACUGAAAAAACUGCAUGGGAUUCGAUAGAGUUAGUGGGGAAAGAAGAAACUAGGCUUGCUACUGAAAAUGGAGAAGUGAAUGACAAAGGACUUCCCAUUAUGGCUUAUAAAACUUAAAUAUUUUAGUGUGUAAAUAAAGUAAUUUUGUAAAUUGAAUUCUUAUAAUUAAAAUUAGUUUUUUUAUAGUUUUAUAACUUCAAAAUAAUCGAUGUGGAUCUCAUAUGAUUUAACUUGUUUUCUAUAAAUAUUUAGUUUUUCUUACUCGUCAAAAAUAAAUAGUUUAAUUAUUUUUGUAAUCAAUUAAAAUUUGUGAAAUCAUGACGCGUCUAUUAGUAUUUACAAUGAGGCUGGUGCUAAACUAUAGUUUUUAUACUACAUAAAAUAAACGUGUGUCGUUAUCAAUAUAAUCGUAUUGCAUCAAAAAGUUAGGCAGGUACACAACCGGUUUUGUUAUAACACGACGAAAAUACUCCCAAUAAUGGACACUCACACUAAUAAUCAUUUAUUUCUCACACAACGACACUGCGUAACAUGGAAUAACUGCAAAAUUGCCUAUAUUCGACCCCUGAAAAAAGGUCGGUACCCUUGCUUUUUGUACCCAAAUGAAGAUUGUUAAUGUGUCAAGUCAUGAACUUGAGCCCGACUCAAUCAACAGAGUGAAUUGAACACAUAAAACUAUCAAAGAAGCAAAAACCAACAAGACGAACAAAAUAACACACCUGAGUCCGUGACACGCACAACUACUCCAAACAGGCCGGUACGCGAAUGACGCCUUCGCAACCACCUACACACUACCCCAACAGCAAAACCAGUUGUGGCAGGUCGCGCUCUAGACGAGGAAAAGUAGACCAACACUGCACUGCUUCGACACGACCGAACAAAUAUAUAAUGGAAUAUUUCGUUAAUUUACAAGAAAACAGAAUCGAAGUUGAUUAAUUAUAUUAUUAUAUUUCAAUUUUGAUAGUCUUUGAGUGUAAUAUUAAAAAUAACAUUUUUCAAGUAUUUGCGGAGGUGUUACAAAUUCAUUUUACGGAGGGAGGAUUACUAAGUUCAUUUAGUCGACUAAGAUAUUUAUUGAUUUGGAGGUUAUUCAGUUCGAAUCUCUGACAACAAUCUCAAAUAUCAACGAAAAAAUUUUAGAGUGAAAAAUAACCCAGUACAGUUGAUUCGCGGCAUAUUUAGAACAAGUACAAAUAAUAUAUUACAGUGUUUUACAUCAUUAUCAUAAAAAACACAUUAAUGUGAAUCCAUUAAAUUUCACAAUAUUCUGUAUAUUUGUAAUUUUAUAGUUUUUAUGAUUUAAAGUUUCAAAUAUUAAAUUAUUGUCAAAUUAUUUGCUUAAUUCAAGAUAAAGUAUUUUUUUUUUAAAUUGCCUUUUUUUUUGGUUUAACAGCCAAU